rnacentral:tRNA from 1 species
GGCGUGAUAGCUCAGUUGGUAGAGCAACGGAUUGAAAAUCCGUGUGUCCCAAGUUCGAUCCUGGGUCUCGCCACCA